CUGUGCUAGAUGGGGAGGUAGCGGUGCCCUGUAACCUGCAACCCGCUAUAGCAGGAUUGAACUCCUCACGUAGGCAUGUUGUAUGUAGGGCCGCCUUUAGUAAGUGGUGAUGAAAGUCGGGUCCUACGCAACGGAAGCUUACGAACCCCGUCAGGUCCGGAAGGAAGCAGCGGUAAGUAAUCACUUUCGUGUGCCGUAGGGUGGCCUAAUUUGAGCUAACUGCUAGAGUAACGCUUAUGGCAACCUGUCAAGGUGAGGUGCACAG
rnacentral:SRP_RNA from 1 species